rnacentral:rRNA from 1 species
AUUGAACGCUGGCGGCAUGCCUUACACCUGCAAGUCGAACGGCAGCACGGGAGCAAUCCUGGUGGCGAGUGGCGAACGGGUGAGUAAUACAUCGGAACGUGCCCAGUAGUGGGGGAUAACUGCUCGAAAGAGCAGCUAAUACCGCAUCCGACCUGAGGGUGAAAGCGGGGGAUCGCAAGACCGCCCGCUAUUGGAGCGGCCGCUGUCAGAUUAGCUAGUUGGUGGGUUCAAGGCCUACCAAGGCAACGAUCUGUAGUUGGUCUGAGAGGACGACCAGCCACACUGGGACUGAGACACGGCCCAGACUCCUACGGGAGGCAGCAGUGGGGAAUAUUGGACAAUGGGGGGAACCCUGAUCCAGCCAUGCCGCGUGUGUGAAGAAGGCCUUAUGGUUGUAAAGCACUUUAAGCGAGGAGGAGGCUCUUUUGGUUAAUACCCAGAAUGAGUGGACGUUACUCGCAGAAUAAGCACCGGCUAACUCUGUGCCAGCAGCCGCCGCCGUAA